rnacentral:miRNA from 1 species
CAUAUGUGUUUGUGUGUAUAUGUGCACGCACAUGCGUGCGCGCGCACACACACACACACACACACACACACACACACACACACACACACACACACA